rfam:Picea glauca, whole genome shotgun sequence.
GAGUGUGAUCAUAUCAGUAUUAAUGCAUCGGAUCCCAUCGAAACUCCACAGCUAAGCACACUUGGGCUAGAGUAGUACUAGGAUGGGUGACCUCCCAGGAAGUCCUGGUGUUGCACCCU